rnacentral:lncRNA from 1 species
GAGAAUAAAGAAAAAUUAGCAAGGAAGAUUCGAGAGAAGGAGAAGAAAAGAAAAAGAAGAAGAAGAAGUGGGUUUUCACGCUUGGGUUCUCCAUUUCUUCAAUUUCUCCACUGAUUUAGAGAUGUAUGUGUAAGUAUGUUGAAUUAUUUUUUUGGGUUUAAGUAUAUAUAUAUUGGAAGAUUAGUGUUGAAAGGAAGGAAGGUUGAAAUGGGUUUGUAAAUUACAGUUUCAAUCUUUAAUUUAUUGCGUUUAUAUAAUAUAAAACACUUGAUUUAUGAGGUAUUACAGUGGCACAAGGAUUUUAGGUUUGAUUUUGGUAUUUCUUAACUCAUUUUCUUCAAUUUUCGUACAAUUAUAACCCUAUUGCUACUUUAAAAAUUUUGGCCAGAAUGUGCCAUUUUUGUCGAAGGUUUUGGAGACAGUCUUCCAUAUAUGGAAAUUGGUGCCAAAUUUCAAUACUCUGGAAUCUUAGUGCUAUUUUUAUCAAACUUUUGAUUUUCUCAGAUUUUACAAGCUUCAAUGAAACUGGAUGAUAUAUAUUGAAGUUCAGGUAUUGAAUUAAAUCAUGUAUAGGGGUUGUAUAUGUAUAAAGUAGUGAUUUUAAGAAAAUAUAGUGAUUUAAUGAAUUUGAUCAUUUAUGGUGAUCUGUUAUUAAACAAUAAAAGAGAGGAAAAGUUUGAGAAAUAGAUACCCGAAAAUAAAUAUAGAAGUUGAGGAAUUAUGUGGUGGAUUUACAUUAGUUUACUUGUCCGGUUUUAAUUUAGGUUAUUAUACUAUUAUUUGAGGCAGUAACGUCAAAGUUUGGAAAUGCUCAUCAAUAUAACCAGAUUGCUAUCCCUAGAUCCGUGAGUGAAAAAAUUUAAAUAUUUUCAAUUACUAAUAAAUUGAUUAUACUAUUACGUUAUGUGGGAUUAUGUGAAUUAUUUCUGCUACAUGAUUAUUAAUAAAUGUUCUCUCAGUAUGAUAUAUGUGGAAUUACAAAAAGUAUAUGUGGGUUACUUGUGAAUUAGAAUAUGAGACAUGUUUUAUUGACCGCUACUAGGGCACCGUGGCAUGCGAGGCAUGCAAUUGUGUUGGCCACAAGUGAGACUUCUCAAGUGAUCGCAAGGGUGGUUAUGGGAUGUGAUCAUGGGAGGAUUGACCACUUGCUUGUGCCAUUGUGAUAUGGUGAUUUUUAGUAUCUCGGGUGGUAUACUUCCUGGCUAAUCAUGGGGGCUAUCAGGUGAUGUACCUCUAAUGAUCACAAGAUAAUGGUCCACUUAACUGUGAUAUUGUAAUUAUUGUCAUCUUGAGUGUGAUACUUCUUGUGUGAUCAUGGGACUGUUAGGGGAUGUACUUCUGAUGAUCACAGGAGGAUGGGCCACUCGACUCUACUCAGUUGAUUAUUGAUUAUUGAUGUUGAUAUUAUAUUAUUUUCGAACUUAUCCAUUCAAUGAGCUAUCAACUCAUAUAUUUUCUUCUAAUUUUUCCUACAGGUAGCAAUUGGUUUUUGAUAGCGUGAGGAGCUUGAUAAUUUUAGAGUUAGAGCUACACGACAUAUUGAAUGAUAUGAGUCAUUUGGAUUCAACAUGAGAUAAUUAUUUUGGACACAUCACAUUAUAUUUUUCACAAGCAUUUGAUUUUGGCACAUGUUUUAUAGUAACUCAUAUUCAGCAUUGGUGAUGGAUCUGACAUCUAAUCAGCAUCAAUUAUCGACGAACGUUACAUUUUGGUCCACUAGGAUGAUUAGGGACAAGUCAUGUCAUGUAGCCCAUGUAGGAAUCUUUGUUAAAGGGACGUACAUUUCGUUGGAUAUCCUCGCCAUUAUUAGUUCCUGCUAGCCCUCAUCAAAUGCAUCCAUUUUGACAAUUCUUGCUCUCUGUGGAUUAUGUAUAUGUGAGUGAGUAUGUAUCUGUGUAUUUGAUUUUGACAACAUCAAAUGUAGAGAAGAAAGUGGUGGGUAAUAGGUGGUAUCAUAUGUGUUUCGAUUUGAUUUGUUUUUGUUCAAAGAAAGUGGGAGGUCCAGAAUAUAGAUUGAGCACAGACGGACGUUAACUAUUGAC